ACACUCACUGAGAGACACACAGUGAGACAGGUGGAGGCGGAGCGUUGGCGGUUCAGACAGCAGCUGAAUGACAGCAGCAGAUCUCAGGAGCCUGCAGACACUACAGAACAAGAGCGCCUGAGGAGCAGAGUGAGGGAGCUGGAGGACCAGGUGACUCAGCUCCAUCUCUCAUGGGCCGCCGACCAGCAGCAGAGGGCGGAGUUUAUCCAGCAGUCCUCCAGGAACAGCCAAUGGCUGAUCUCUCUGAGACACGACCUCACUGAUUCGCUGGCCGAGGUCACGCGCCGUCCAAUCCCGUCCGUCCUGGAGUCUGAGACGCAGCGAUUGGACCGCAGCCUGAGGGAGGAGGAGCUUAGGUUGUCCCUCAGCCAAUCGUAACGCCUGAAUCCUAAAAACAAUGAGUCUUCAGUGUUUCUCCGGACCAAAUGAACAGAACUCUGAGAUUCACAGAAUAUAUAAAUAAUACAUUUUGAUAUUGUAGUUUUAUACAAAGUACCUCCAGCAGGAGGGUUUGUCCAGAGGGACCCUGAACUCCUCGCGACUCAUUUGAGUUUACGCACUUUUUAAAAGUCGCAACAAACGUUGAUCAGUUAUUAAAAUGAUUAAAGUAAUGAGCCAGUUUAAAGGUCAAUGAGUGAGUUACUGUGUUGUAUUUCUAUUCUGUUUUGACACACUACGUUUCCCAUAAUCCUCCAGUCCAGCUCAUGUGAAGGUCAGAGGUCAGCUGUGUGUUUUAUAUGAAGCUCAAUUAAAAAAAAGUGUUCAUCAGGAGCUUCUACUUGUCUCUGUUGUGAUGCUCUGAGCCGCCUGCAGGAGGCGCUGACGGCUCUCUAACUGGAUCCUCCCAUGGAAAUACUCGGGUAAAAUACUUCUACUUCAAUACGUGUACUUCGUGUACUUUGUUCAGACUGAAUACUGCAAAGUUAAUCUGUGAUGAGGUGUUUGAAUGUGUCUCUCUUUGUUUCUGGACGACAGACGUCUGUCAUUCAGCACACUGAUAAUCUACUGGAAGCUAUUUCUAACAACUCUCCCCCUUUCUCUCUCUCUCCCUCUUUCUCUCUCCUUUCUCUUUCUUUUGCUCUCACCUCUCU